GACGAACGCUGGCGGCGUGCCUAAUACAUGCAAGUCGAGCGAGCUUGCCUAGAUGAUUUUAGUGCUUGCACUAAAUGAAACUAGAUACAAGCGAGCGGCGGACGGGUGAGUAGCACGUGGGUAACCUGCCCAAGAGACUGGGAUAACACCUGGAAACAGAUGCUAAUACCGGAUAACAACACUAGACGCAUGUCUAGAGUUUGAAAGAUGGUUCUGCUAUCACUCUUGGAUGGACCUGCGGUGCAUUAGCUAGUUGGUAAGGUAACGGCUUACCAAGGCAAUGAUGCAUAGCCGAGUUGAGAGACUGAUCGGCCACAUUGGGACUGAGACACGGCCCAAACUCCUACGGGAGGCAGCAGUAGGGAAUCUUCCACAAUGGACGAAAGUCUGAUGGAGCAACGCCGCGUGAGUGAAGAAGGGUUUCGGCUCGUAAAGCUCUGUUGGUAGUGAAGAAAGAUAGAGGUAGUAACUGGCCUUUAUUUGACGGUAAUUACUUAGAAAGUCACGGCUAACUAC
rnacentral:rRNA from 1 species